GUCAGCUUUACACACUUUUGAGGGGGGGAAUUGCAUGUCUAUACUGCACCUGAGGCAUAUUGUGGAAUAACCAGAACAUAACCUGAGGGAGACUCUCAGAAAGUAGAAGAACAAUUAGGAAUACAGAAAACCUCCUGCUGAGAGCCUAUUAUCAGAAAUUGUCUGCACCAGAUGAGAAUAAUUGUUUUGCGAUGUUCGCAAAUUGUUGCGCUUGAACGAAAAGUAACAUUCUCAUACACCAGUCCCACAAACCCAAGCAGAUGAAAGAGUCUGUUGAUUUCAAGUCUGAUGCAAGGUUAGGACUCACUACAGAGGAAUGAUGGGGAAGGAAAUACCAGAAGACUUUUCAAAAAAAAAGAGGGAGAAGAGUUUACAUGCAGUCAAAUUUAAGCAUUAAUCUAUAGUCUCUGUCAUUUAGAUGAUUUCUGUGUUUCAUCACUAUGUAUAAGAUUCUAUUGUUAUAUUUUGU